rnacentral:lncRNA from 1 species
CAACCCAGCCCCCCUCAAUGGUGGGGCCUUCUGCGAGGGGCAGAGUGUACAGAAAAUAGCAUGCACCACGUUAUGCCCAGUGGAUGGCAGGUGGACUUCGUGGAGCAAAUGGUCAACUUGUGGGACUGAGUGCACCCACUGGCGGAGGAGGGAGUGUACAGCACCAGCCCCCAAGAACGGGGGUAAGGACUGUGAUGGCCUGGUCCUCCAAUCCAAGAACUGCACCGAUGGGCUGUGCAUGCAGGGUAAGUCAAAGUGAAGUAAUGCAGGCGUUGAAGGGAUGGGCACCGAGACCAUUUGGAUAUCUGGAAGGAAUGUUAGUGAUUGACAAUGUUGAACAAUAAAAUUGCAAUGAUACA